rnacentral:tRNA from 1 species
CGGUAGCUCAGUCGGAUAGAGCAACGGCCUUCUAAGCCGUGGGUCAGGGGUUCGAAUCCUCUUCG